UACGUAGGGGGCAAGCGUUGUCCGGAUUCAUUGGGCGUAAAGGGCGCGUAGGCGGUCCGGUAAGUCAGAUGUGAAAUCCCUGGGCUUAACUCAGGAACUGCAUUUGAUACUGCCAGACUAGAGUUCGGUAGAGGGCAGUGGAAUUCCCGGUGUAGAGGUGAAAUUCGUAGAGAUCGGGAGGAACACCAGUGGCGAGAGCGGCUGCCUGGGCCGACACUGACGCUGAGGCGCGAGAGCGUGGGGAGCAAACAGGAUUAGAUACCCUGGUAGUCCACGCUGUAAACGAUGAGUACUAGAUGUCGGGGGUAUUGACCCCCUCGGUAUCGAAGCUAACGCGUUAAGUACUCCGCCUGGGAAGUACGGCCGCAAGGCUAAA
rnacentral:rRNA from 1 species